rnacentral:rRNA from 1 species
UACGGGGGGGGGCAAGCGUUGUUCGGAAUUACUGGGCGUAAAGGGCUCGUAGGCGGCCAACUAAGUCGGACGUGAAAUCCCUCGGCUUAACCGGGGAACUGCGUCCGAUACUGGAUGGCUUGAGUUUGGGAGAGGGAUGCGGAAUUCCAGGUGUAGCGGUGAAAUGCGUAGAUAUCAGGAGGAACACCGAUGGCGAAGGCAGGUCUCUGGGCAUUAACUGACGCUGAGGAGCGAAAGCAUGGGGAGCGAACAGG